rnacentral:rRNA from 1 species
CAUAGCGACUAUCGUGGCAUAUCAAUAAGCGGAGGAAAAGAAACUAACAAGGAUUCCCUUAGUAGCGGCGAGUGAAGCGGGAAGAGCUCAAAUUUGAAAUCUUCAAGGUUUUACCUUGACGAAUUGUAGUUUAAAGAAGUGUUUUCUGUUGAAGUUUUGGUAAAAGUUCUUUGGAAUAGGACAUCAUAGAGGGUGAGAAUCCCGUAUUUGACCAUUAUUUUCAGCUGUGUGAUACACUUUCAAAGAGUCGGAUUGUUUGGGAAUGCAGUCCAAAAUGGGUGGUAAAUUUCAUCUAAAGCUAAAUAUUGGCGAGAGACCGAUAGCGAACAAGUACCGUGAGGGAAAGAUGAAAAGAACUUUGAAAAGAGAGUUAAACAGUACGUGAAAUUGUCAAAAGGGAAGCGUUUGACACCAGUGUUGUUUUCUCGAAAAUCAAUUAAAAAAUGGUGGGAUUUUGUGUUGUAUUGGACUUUAUCAAGCUUUCUGCACUUUUUUCCUAGUCUUUUUAAUGCACUUUUCGUUUAACAAGUCAACAUCAGUUUCUUUUGUUGUAAAAGGGUCAUUGGAAGGUGGCUUUCUUUUCGGAGAAAGUGUUUAUAGCCUUUGAUCUCUGCAACCGGAGAGACUGAGGUCUGCAGCGUAGACUCUUCGGGGUUAGAUACAUUUGUGCUAAGUUAUAGCUUUUUCAUAGACAACUUGUUGACUAUAUUUAGUCUUGUAGGCUUACUCGCUUAUGCUAUUUUACCUACGCUUAGGAUGUUGAUAGUCACAGCGUGUAC